UACGUAGGGUGCAAGCGUUGUCCGGAAUUAUUGGGCGUAAAGAGCUCGUAGGCGGUUUGUUGCGUCGGCUGUGAAAUCCCGAGGCUCAACCUCGGGUCUGCAGUCGAUACGAGCAAACUAGAGUGUUGCAGGGGAGACUGGAAUUCCUGGUGUAGCGGUGAAAUGCGCAGAUAUCAGGAGGAACACCGGAGGCGAAGGCGGGAUCCUGGGCAGGUACUGACGCUGAGGCGCGAAAGCGAGGGGAGCGAACAGG
rnacentral:rRNA from 1 species